AAAAUGGCGGUGACAGGGAAAGUACGCCUUAAACAGCCUCCAGAGAGAGAGCACCAAAAAGUGUUGUUACAGGAAGCAAGAGAAAUGAAGUAGGAGGCAGGAACUGCAGGAAGGAAUUGGCGGGCCAAUUCCAACAAAAAAUCUUGCAUCUUGCAUCUUGCUUCUUGCCUCCAGUUUCUUGUGAAUCACAGCGCUUUUAGGCUGGAAGUGCUCUUAGAACAUAUUAAGGCGGAAGACCACCCUGGAGCAGUGAGGUUGAAGCUAACUAGACCUCAACGCAUGCCCCCGUUAACGGGCACUAAAAGAGGGCACUCGAAACGUGCCCAUUAGGGUGGAACCACGGGAACUACUCUCGUCCCUACG
rnacentral:ncRNA from 1 species